rnacentral:rRNA from 1 species
UACAGAGGGUGCGAUCGUUAAUCGGAAUUACUGGGCGUAAAGCGUGCGUAGACGGUUUCGUAAGUCGGGUGUGAAAUCCCCGGGCUCAACCUGGGCAUUGCAUUCGAAACUGCGAGGCUAGGGUACGGAAGAGGGAAGCGGAAUUUCUGGUGUAGCGGUGAAAUGCGUAGAUAUCGGGAGGAACAUCAGUGGCGAAGGCGGCCCUCUGGUCCAGUACUGACACUCAAGUGCGAAAGCGUGGGGAGCAAACAGG